rnacentral:rRNA from 1 species
GACGAACGCUGGCGGCGUGCUUAACACAUGCAAGUCGAACGGGCCUUGUCCCCUUUUUUUUUGGGGGUGGGGUUAGUGGCGAACGGGUGAGUAACACGUGGGUAACCUGCCCCUCACUUCUGGAUAACCGCUUGAAAGGGUGGCUAAUACGGGGUGUUCUGGCCUGCUCGCAUGGGUGGGUUUGGAAAGAUUCGACCGGUUUUGGUUGUUUUGGUGGGGGAUGGGCUCGCGGCCUAUCAGCUUGUUGGUGGGGUGAUGGCCUGCCAAGGCUUUGACGGGUAGCCGGCCUGAGAGGGUGGGCGGUCACACUGGGACUGAGACACGGCCCAGACUCCUACGGGAGGCAGCAGUGGGGAAUAUUGCACAAUGGGCGCAAGCCUGAUGCAGCGACGCCGCGUGAGGGAUGGAGGCCUUCGGGUUGUGAACCUCUUUCGCCAGUGAAGAAGGUCCUGCUCUUUGUGGUGGGGUUGACGGUAGCUGGGUUAAUGAAGCGCCGGCUAACUACGUG